GACGAACGCUGGCGGCGUGCUUAACGCAUGCAAGUCGAACGGAAAGGCCCUGCUUUUGUGGGGUGCUCGAGUGGCGAACGGGUGAGUAACACGUGAGUAACCUGCCCUUGACUUUGGGAUAACUUCAGGAAACUGGGGCUAAUACCGGAUAGGAGCUCCUGCUGCAUGGUGGGGGUUGGAAAGUUUCGGCGGUUGGGGAUGGACUCGCGGCUUAUCAGCUUGUUGGUGGGGUAGUGGCUUACCAGGGCUUUGACGGGUAGCCGGCCUGAGAGGGUGACCGGCCACAUUGGGACUGAGAUACGGCCCAGACUCCUACGGGAGGCAGCAGUGGGGAAUAUUGCACAAUGGGCGGAAGCCUGAUGCAGCAACGCCGCGUGCGGGAUGACGGCCUUCGGGUUGUAAACCGCUUUCGCCUGUGACGAAGCGUGAGUGACGGUAAUGGGUAAAGAAGCACCGGCUAACUACGUG
rnacentral:rRNA from 1 species